AGGAAAAGAUGCUUGAAGUCUGUGAUGGAUUAGGACCUAUAUACAGAUGUAUUACUUUAGAUUAGAGUAACAAUUUAUCAUGAAAGAUAUCGAGUGUAAUCUAGGGACUAGGGUUCAGAAAGCUCUCAAUUUGGAGUGUUCUGCACAGUUUUAUGUACUCCCUCGGUUUGAGUUCACUCAUUCUUACCCAAUGUUAACGCCAAGAUCUUCUACCACGUCCCAAUCACGUAAGACGUUCUGAUCCUGCACAGUUCAACAAGUCAACAAUCAAAGCUUGACGUGAUAUCCC
rnacentral:lncRNA from 1 species